rnacentral:rRNA from 1 species
GAUUUAAAUCUAGACUAACCAGUCGAAAGUACUACAUCACUUAUUGAUCCAAAAACCUUGAUCAACGGAACA